CAUGAUCAUGCAUACCUGUCAACUGACCCGUAUUCUGCGGGUGUGACCCGAGAUUUUCACAAUUCUGAGGGAUCACCCGGAACACCCGCCGGGUCAUUGAAAUAACCCGGGAAUUCCGAAAAUGACCCGAUUUCACCCGUAUUUCUUAGCCUUGAGAUUGAUUUCAUAAGUAAUAUUCCUUUGAAAUACCGGCAAAUUUGUAAUUCUUCCAUGAACAGGAAGUUCAUCUAGCUAUGUAAACUGUCAAAUUAAGUGACCCAUUAAGUGCAUGGCUUCACUUGACAGCUUUGGUGUCAAACACACUGUUAAUUAACACCAAUUACCUUAGCUUUAGGUCGUAAAUAAAUUGCAC
rnacentral:lncRNA from 1 species